AGAGUUUGAUCCUGGCUCAGGAUGAACGCUAGCGGCAGGCCUAACACAUGCAAGUCGAGGGAGAAGCCUUCGGGCUGAAACCGGCGCACGGGUGCGUAACGCGUAUACAAUCUGCCUUUCACAUAGGGAUAGCCCGAAGAAAUUUGGAUUAAUACCUAAUGGUAUAUAGGAGCGGCAUCGUUUUUAUAUUAAAGCUACGGUGGUGAAAGAUGAGUAUGCGUUCUAUUAGCUAGUUGGAGAGGUAACGGCUCCCCAAGGCGACGAUAGAUAGGGGUUCUGAGAGGGAUGUCCCCCACACUGGUACUGAGAUACGGACCAGACUCCUACGGGAGGCAGCAGUGAGGAAUAUUGGACAAUGGUCGGAAGACUGAUCCAGCCAUGCCGCGUGCAGGAUGAAGGUCCUAUGGAUUGUAAACUGCUUUUGUAAGGGAAGAAUAAGGAGUACGUGUACUUUGAUGACGGUACCUUACGAAUAAGCAUCGGCUAACUCCGUGCCAGCAGCCGCGGUAAUACGGAGGAUGCGAGCGUUAUCCGGAAUCAUUGGGUUUAAAGGGUCCGUAGGCGGGCUGAUAAGUCAGAGGUGAAAUCGUUCAGCUCAACUGAGCAACUGCCUUUGAAACUGUCAGUCUUGAAUGAUUGUGAAGUAGUUGGAAUGUGUAGUGUAGCGGUGAAAUGCUUAGAUAUUACACAGAACACCGAUAGCGAAGGCAUAUUACUAACAAUUUAUUGACGCUGAUGGACGAAAGCGUGGGGAGCGAACAGGAUUAGAUACCCUGGUAGUCCACGCU
rnacentral:rRNA from 1 species